rnacentral:rRNA from 1 species
UACAGAGGUGGCAAGCGUUGUUCGGAUUUACUGGGCGUAAAGGGCGCGUAGGCGGUGCGGUAAGUCACUUGUGAAAUCUCUGAGCUUAACUCAGAACGGCCAAGUGAUACUGCAGUACUAGAGUGCAGAAGGGGCAAUCAGAAUUCUUGGUGUAGCGGUGAAAUGCGUAGAUAUCAAGAGGAAUACCUGAGGUGAAGACGGGUUGCUAGGCUGACACUGACGCUGAGGCGCGAAAGCCAGGGGAGCAAACGGG